AAGAAAAUUAAUACAAUGCCCUACUGCUUCUGCCAUGUAAAAAUCAACACAAAUCUAAAGAAUCUGGUUUGAUUCCCCGUUUAGAUAUUGGCAUUUAAUAAUUAGGUUGUUUCCAAUUUCUAACUGUUAAAUGAAGACUUGGAUUCAAAACACAGCUAUAUGUACAUGUGGCCUUUUUGCUUGUGUGGGUACAGAUCAUGGUAGAGUCAAGUACUAUUACUGAAAUGUGUCUGAGAGACCCACCUCAGUUGCAACUACAAAUAACUUCUGGACUGGGGAGAAUAGAGGGAUGAAAGGAUUUAUAUAUGCAGAGUUGGAGAGUGGUGAAUAUCAUAUGCAGAGACAUGAUUUAUUAGUCAAUGCUACGUAGCUAGAAUAUUUGUGUGAUAGGUGAGAAAUCUGCAGUCCCACAGAACAGGUAGCAAGAACUUAGCGAACUUGCUGAGAUACCUGUGUUGCUAACAAAUGGGCAGAGGGGGUAUGUGAAAUGAACAGGAGAGGGGGGGGGGGGAAAGGACCAUGGGAAUAACUUUCAGUGGUUGGCAUUAGUGGUUGGUCCUUUGUCAGCCCUGCUAGUCAGUAAAGUGGAUAAUCAGGGCAAACAGUUAUAGUGAGUCUGAUAAGAGAUGCAUGCAGUUAGCAGGGUUCUCUUGGCAUCUUUCCACUUUGUGUUUUGGGUAGUACUGAGUUCUUGAGCUGAGGGACUGUGGUUUGUGUCUGAACUUAGUAACUGCAGCAAUGAACUGGCUGAGUCUCUGUGUUUGAUUGGAGUUGAAAUCCUUAGCUAAAAUUCAGCAUAUCCCGAGCUGGCAUUCUGUUUUUCUACCAGUUGGAGAGGGGAAUAAUCUGUGUUCUUGAAAUGCCUAGAAACUAUUGGAGUUGUCUCCUAAUCACAGAUGUCAUUUAGCCACAUAAGGGAUCAAAAUGAAAACCAGACUACCAACCAAUGAAGUUACUUGAGUGUAAUGUCUUUGUGCUUCUGUCCUGGAUUUGACGUGUGAAACCAGGCCUGCUUUCUACUGGAUCAUGCUGCAGACGAUGAUAAAGGAAAAAAUAAGUGAGUGAAGACCUUCUUGAAGUGGUACAUCUGAAGAAAAGAAUCAGAGAUUCUGCAGAAGAAACAAAGAAUCAUUUCAGAGAAAGUUUGUUUAAACAAUCCAGACAGCUCUUGUGCAUGUUUGUGUGUUAGUGAAUUACAGGGGAAGAAGGUAAAAACUUCCAAUUACUUGGCAUCAGAGAAACAUUGUUAUUCUAAACUCCAAUAAAGAUGAACAGUGAAAAUGUGAAGCAGAUAAGCAAAGCUUUUCAGUUACAAUUUUAUUAUCUUAAUAAGAAUAAAUCCUUCAGCACGUAAACUAAAUAACUGUGAUUAUAUUUAUCAAAAAGCUUUUUCAGAUAGAGUGUAUAAGCACAAUAUGAUGUCUGUAGGAAUGCAAACGUGCUGUUGCCAUGGAGAUUCUGCCAUCAUCACAGUAGAACGCUGCAAAAGCUACCAGUAUUCAGCUUACAGAAGAGAAAAAAAAAGAACCAGACAUAACCUUAAUUGAUUUCUACAGGCUUAAUUAAAUCUAUGUUCUAGAAGUGAAGCAGGAGGUACAGUCCUGCCAAAGUAAAUUCAGAUUACUUUCAGAAAGUGAGCUAACUUGUAUUCUGGGGUUAUAGUAACUUUCCAUGCAGCAAAAGAGCAAAAGCCAGAAGAGAAAGAAGAGUCUAGUUGAUAAUGAUUAGCAGAGGUGCAACCAAGCAAGUAACUAAGACGAACAUACACUGGGUGAGAAAAGUGAUUACACGCAGGUACACAUUGUACACAGGUGUACACAUCUGUGGUAGAAGAAAACAUCCACCCUAAAGAGGUAACUUGGUGGACUGUGAGCUGACUGAUGGGUGUAAUGUUGUCAUCACAGGUGCAGAUUCUGGUUGGAAGCCUGUAACUAGUGGUAUUCCCAGCGGUCAGUGCCAGGGACAGUCUUGUUCAACCUUAAUUGGCAACCUGGAUGAAGGGGGACAGUGUCCACACUCAGCAAGUUUGCUGAUGAUGCAAAGCUGGGAGGUGUGGCUGACACACCAGGAGGCUGUGCUACCACCCAACAAGACCUGGACAGACUGAAGAGUUGGACAGGGAGAAACCUGAUGAGGUUUAACAGGAGCAAUUGUAGAGACUUGCACCUGUGAAGGAAUAACCACAUGCAUCUUAGUACAGGUUAGGGGAUGACCUACUGGAGGGGAGUUUUGCAGAGAAGCACCUGAAUGUCCUGGUGGACAACAGGUUGGCCACAAGCCAGCAGUGUGCCCUGGUGGCCAAGAAAGUCAAUGGUAUCCUGGGGUACAUUUAAAAAAAGCAUGGCCAGCAGGUUGAGGGAGGUGAUCCUCCCCCCUCUACUCUGCCCAAUUGAGGCCAUGUUUAGAAUACUGUAUCCAGUUCUGGGCUCCCCAGUUCAAAAAAACUGACAUUUCCUAGAAUGAGCCCAGCAAAGGGCUAUGAAGAUGAUAAAGGGCCUUGAGCAUCUCCUGUAUGAGGAAAGGCUGAGUAAUCUGGGUCUGUUCAGCCUGGGGAAAACAAGAGUGAGGAGAUACAUGAUUAAUGUUUGUAACUCUCUAAAGGGAGGUGGGAGGCAAAUGGAUGAGGCCAGGUUCUUCUCCAUGUUGCAGUAGGACAAGGAGCAAUGGCCUAAAACUUGAACAGAGGGAGUUCCAUACAAACAUGUGGAAGAAUUUCUUUACAGUCUGGGUGAUGGAGCAUUGGCACAGGUUGCUCAGAGAGGUUGUGGAGUCUCUUUCUGUGGAGAUAUUCAAGACCUGACUGGAUGCUGACCUCUGCAACCUAUUGUAGAGAACCUACUUUAGCAAGGAUGUUGAGCUCAAAGAUUUAUUGAGGUCCCUCCCAACUUCUGCAGUUCUCUGAGACUGUGAACUUGAAGAUGUUAAGCAUAGACAAAAACUGAUGUCUGGAAAAUCCUGACCUAGUUAGAACUACUCAAAGGAGAAGAAAGAUGUCAUUGAAUACACAGGUUAGACUACAUGGGGGAUAUUUUACUAAACUUUACAUACUUAUUCCUUUAAAAAUUUUUGCAGAAAAUACUCCUGACUGAAUGUUGUACAUUCUGUAUGAAUCCCUUUUUUUUGUGUAGAAGUAUCUGUCAACAAGUAUGGACUCCUUGAAAGUAGAAUGACUUUUUUUCUAUGUGUGAGAUUAUAGAAAGAAAAACUGCAUACUGUAAUCUUUUGUUGCUGCUGUGAUGCAUCUCAAGUAUGAAUUUUGCAGUUUCUUACUGUUCUCUGUAUCUUGUUUUCCAGUGUUCUUUUCAGGUCAUUAAAGACAUUAUUUCUACUUAAAAGAAUAAUACUUUCAACCUUUUU
ensembl:lncRNA